AUUGAACGCUGGCGGCAGGCCUAACACAUGCAAGUCGAACGAGAGGCGGAAGGGUGAGUAAUGCAUGGGAAUCUUGCUUAUGGAGGGGGAUAACUACGGGAAACUGUUGCUAAUACCGCGUUCAAUAGGCUGGGCCCAAGUGGGCUGAGGUAGUUGGUAAGGUAAAGGCUGACCAAGCCGACGAUCUGUAGCUGGUCUGAGAGGAUGAACAGCCACACUGGGACUGAGACACGGACCAGACUCCUACGGGAGGCAGCAGUGGGGAAUAUUGGGCAAUGGGGGAAAGCUGACGCAGCCAUGCCGCGUGAGUGAAGAAGGUCUUCGGAUUGUAAAGUUCUUUCAGUUGGGAGGCGUUAACUACAGAAGAAGCACCGGCUAACUUCGUGCCAGCAGCCGCGGUAAUAC
rnacentral:rRNA from 1 species